rnacentral:rRNA from 1 species
UACGUAGGGUGCAAGCGUUGUCCGGAAUUAUUGGGCGUAAAGGGCGCGUAGGCGGCUUUGCAAGUGACGGGUGAAAUCCCUCGGCUUAACCGGGGAACUGCCUGUCAAACUGCAUGGCUUGAGACCGGGAGAGGUGAGUGGAAUUCCCAGUGUAGCGGUGAAAUGCGUAGAUAUUGGGAGGAACACCAGUGGCGAAGGCGGCUCACUGGACCGGUACUGACGCUGAGGCGCGAAAGCGUGGGUAGCAAACAGG